CCUACGGGUGGCAGCAGUGAGGAAUAUUGGUCAAUGGACGAGAGUCUGAACCAGCCACGUCGCGUGAAGGAUGACUGUCCUAUGGGUUGUAAACUUCUUUUAUAAAGGAAUAAAACGAGGCACGUGUGCCUGUUUGCGUGUACUUUAUGAAUAAGGAUCGGCUAACUCCGUGCCAGCAGCCGCGGUAAUACGGAGGAUCCGAGCGUGAUCCGGAUUUAUUGGGUUUAAAGGGAGCGUAGAUGGGUUGUUAAGUCAGUUGUGAACGUUUGCGGCUCAACCGUAAAAUUGCAAUUGAUACUGGCAGUCGUGAGUACAGUUGAGGUAGGCGGAAUGCGUGGUGUAGCGGUGAAAUGCUUAGAUAUCACGAAGAACCCCGAUUGCGAAGGCAGCUGACUAAACUGUGACUGACAUUGAUGCUCGAAAGUGUGGGUAUCAAACAGGAUUAGAUACCCGUGUAGUC
rnacentral:rRNA from 1 species